UAAGACGGAGGGUGCUAGCGUUGUUCGGAAUGACUGGGCGUAAAGGGCGCGUAGGCGGCCGACCCAGUCGGGUGUGAAAGCCCGGGGCUCAACCCCGGAACGGCACCCGAUACUGGUUGGCUGGAGACCGAGAGAGGUGAGUGGAAUACCCAGUGUAGAGGUGAAAUUCGUAGAUAUUGGGUGGAACACCGGUGGCGAAAGCGGCUCACUGGCUCGGUUCUGACGCUGAGGCGCGAAAGCGUGGGGAGCAAACAGGAUUAGAUACCCUGGUAGUCCACGCCCUAAACGAUGUGUGCUGGGCGUCGGGGGGCUUGCCCCUCGGUGCCGGAGCUAACGCGGUAAGCACACCGCCUGGGGAGUACGGCCGCAAGGUUA
rnacentral:rRNA from 1 species